GACGAACGCUGGCGGCGUGCUUAACACAUGCAAGUCGAACGGAAAGGCCCUGCUUUUGUGGGGUGCUCGAGUGGCGAACGGGUGAGUAACACGUGAGUAACCUGCCCUUGACUUCGGGAUAACUUCAGGAAACUGGGGCUAAUACCGGAUAGGAGCUCCUGCUGCAUGGUGGGGUUGGAAAGUUUCGGCGGUUGGGGAUGGACUCGCGGCUUAUCAGCUUGUUGGUGGGGUAGUGGCUUACCAAGGCUUUGACGGGUAGCCGGCCUGAGAGGGUGACCGGCCACAUUGGGACUGAGAUACGGCCCAGACUCCUACGGGAGGCAGCAGUGGGGAAUAUUGCACAAUGGGCGGAAGCCUGAUGCAGCAACGCCGCGUGCGGGAUGACGGCCUUCGGGUUGUAAACCGCUUUCGCCUGUGACGAAGCGUGAGUGACGGUAAUGGGUAAAGAAGCACCGGCUAACUACGUG
rnacentral:rRNA from 1 species